UCCGGGGUCGUCUAAUGGUAGGACUUGGAGCUUUGGACUCCAAUAUUUAGGUUCGAAUCCUAGCCCCGGAA
rnacentral:tRNA from 1 species